rnacentral:rRNA from 1 species
AGAGUUUGAUCCUGGCUCAGAUUGAACGCUGGCGGCGUGCCUAACACAUGCAAGUCGAGCGGUAACAGGUGUAGCAAUACAUGCUGACGAGCGGCGAACGGGUGAGUAAUGCUUUGGAAUCUUCCCAGUAGUGGGGAAUAACCAGUCGAAAGAUUGGCUAAUACCGCAUACGUCUGUAAAGGGAAAGCGGGGGCUCGUAAGACCUCGCGCUAUUGGAUGAGCCAAAGUCGGAUUAGCUAGUUGGUGGGGUAAUGGCCUACCAAGGCGACAAUCCGUAGCUGGUCUGAGAGGACGACCAGCCACACCGGAACUGAGACACGGUCCGGACUCCUACGGGAGGCAGCAGUGGGGAAUAUUGGACAAUGGGGGAAACCCUGAUCCAGCGACGCCGCGUGUGUGAAGAAGGCCUGCGGGUUGUAAAGCACUUUUAGUGGGGACAAAAAGCUACGGAUUAAUACUCUGUGGUCUUGAUUUAACCCAAAGAAAAAGCACCGGCUAACUCUGUGCCAGCAGCCGCGGUAAUACAGAGGGUGCGAGCGUUAAUCGGAAUUACUGGGCGUAAAGCGCGCGUAGACGGUUUUGUAAGUCAGAUGUGAAAUCCCUGGGCUCAACCUGGGAACUGCAUUUGAGACUGCAUGGCUAGAGUAUCGAAGAGGGAAGUGGAAUUUCCGGUGUAGCGGUGAAAUGCGUAGAUAUCGGAAGGAACACCAGUGGCGAAAGCGACUUCCUGGUCGAAUACUGACGUUCAUGUGCGAAAGCGUGGGGAGCAAACAGGAUUAGAUACCCUGGUAGUCCACGCCAUAAACGAUGACAACUAGAUGUUGGGAGGGUCUGCCUCUCGGUGUCGCAGCUAACGCGUUAAGUUGUCCGCCUGGGGAGUACGGCCGCAAGGUUGAAACUUAAAGGAAUUGACGG